rnacentral:rRNA from 1 species
UACGUAGGGACCGAGCGUUGUCCGGAUUCAUUGGGCGUAAAGAGCUCGUAGGCGGCCACUCAAGUCGAAUGUGAAACCUCGAGGCUCAACCUCGAGCCUGCAUUCGAUACUGGGCGGCUAGAGUCUGGUAGGGGGAUCUGGAAUUCCUGGUGUAGCGGUGGAAUGCGCAGAUAUCAGGAGGAACACCGGUGGCGAAGGCGGGAUCCUGGGCCAGUACUGACGCUGAUGAGCGAAAGCGUGGGGAGCGAACAGG